rnacentral:rRNA from 1 species
GACGAACGCUGGCGGCGUGCCUAAUACAUGCAAGUAGAACGCACAGUUUAUACCGUAGCUUGCUACACCAUAGACUGUGAGUUGCGAACGGGUGAGUAACGCGUAGGUAACCUGCCUGGUAGCGGGGGAUAACUAUUGGAAACGAUAGCUAAUACCGCAUAAUAUUAAUUAUUGCAUGAUAAUUGAUUGAAAGAUGCAACUGCAUCACUACCAGAUGGACCUGCGUUGUAUUAGCUAGUAGGUGAGGUAACGGCUCACCUAGGCGACGAUACAUAGCCGACCUGAGAGGGUGAUCGGCCACACUGGGACUGGGACACGGCCCAGACUCCUACGGGAGGCAGCAGUAGGGAAUCUUCGGCAAUGGACGAAAGUCUGACCGAGCAACGCCGCGUGAGUGAAGAAGGUUUUCGGAUCGUAAAGCUCUGUUGUAAGAGAAGAACGGGUGUGAGAGUGGAAAGUUCACACUGUGACGGUAUCUUACCAGAAAGGGACGGCUAACUACGUGCCAGCAGCCGCGGUAAUACGUAGGUCCCGAGCGUUGUCCGGAUUUAUUGGGCGUAAAGCGAGCGCAGGCGGUUAGAUAAGUCUGAAGUUAAAGGCUGUGGCUUAACCAUAGUACGCUUUGGAAACUGUUUAACUUGAGUGCAGAAGGGGAGAGUGGAAUUCCAUGUGUAGCGGUGAAAUGCGUAGAUAUAUGGAGGAACACCGGUGGCGAAAGCGGCUCUCUGGUCUGUAACUGACGCUGAGGCUCGAAAGCGUGGGGAGCGAACAGG